rnacentral:rRNA from 1 species
AUUGAACGCUGGCGGCAGGCCUAACACAUGCAAGUCGAACGAGUGGCGGACGGGUGAGUAAUGUCUGGGAAACUGCCUGAUGGAGGGGGAUAACUACUGGAAACGGUAGCUAAUACCGCAUACCAUCAGAUGUGCCCAGAUGGGAUUAGCUUGUUGGUGGGGUAACGGCUCACCAAGGCGACGAUCCCUAGCUGGGCUGAGAGGAUGACCAGCCAAACUGGAAAUGAGACACGGUCCCAGAGCCUACGGGUGGGCGCAGGGGGGAAUAUUGCAAAAAGGGCGAAAGCCGGAUGGAGCCCGGCCGGGGGUAAGAAGAAGGCCUUUGGGUUGGAAAGGUAUUUCAGCGGGGAGGCGUUACCCGCAGAAGAAGCACCGGCUAACUCCGUGCCAGCAGCCGCGGUAAUUC